rnacentral:rRNA from 1 species
UACGGAGGAUGCAAGCGUUAUCCGGAAUGAUUGGGCGUAAAGCGUCCGCAGGUGGCAAUGUAAGUCUGCUGUCAAAGCGUCUGGCUCAACCAGAUAAAGGCAGUGGAAACUACAUAGCUAGAGUAAGGUAGGGGUAGAGGGAAUUCCUGGUGUAGCGGUGAAAUGCGCAGAUAUCAGGAGGAACACCAAAUGCGAAGGCAGCUCGCUGGGACGUUACUGACGCUGAGACGCGAAAGCGUGGGGAGCAAACAGG